GACGAACGCUGGCGGCGUGCUUAACACAUGCAAGUCGAACGGAAAGGCCCUGCUUUUGUGGGGUGCUCGAGUGGCGAACGGGUGAGUAACACGUGAGUAACCUGCCCUUGACUUUGGGAUAACUUCAGGAAACUGGGGCUAAUACCGGAUAGGAGCUCCUGCUGCAUGGUGGGGGUUGGAAAGUUUCGGCGGUUGGGGAUGGACUCGCGGCUUAUCAGCUUGUUGGUGGGGUAGUGGCUUACCAAGGCUUUGACGGGUAGCCGGCCUGAGAGGGUGACCGGCCACAUUGGGACUGAGGUACGGCCCAGACUCCUACGGUAGGCAGCAGUGGGGAAUAUUGCACAAUGGGCGGAAGCCUGAUGCAGCAACGCCGCGUGCGGGAUGACGGCCUUCGGGUUGUAAACCGCUUUCGCCUGUGACGAAGCGUGGGUGACGGUAAUGGGUAAAGAAGCACCGGCUAACUACGUG
rnacentral:rRNA from 1 species